UGUUCCUCCUGCAUGAGCGGGGCUUCCACCCAAGAACAGAUUCUUUUCGUUGAAGGAUUUCCACUGGACUUUCUUAGAGUGUAGCCGUCAUAGCUGACAGCCUGUAAUUUUAAGUUAACGAAGUCGCACCGCACAGCAAAACGCACUUGACAUUUGGUGCCGAAGACCCGGGACAGGGAGACUCCUUUGGAAGACCGGUCCCCUGUCCUUGCCAUCACUCUGUGAGGAGAUGCACCUAAGACCUUGGGUCCUCAGACCAGCUCAAGGAACACCUUACCAACUUUAAAUCGGACAGGAAUGUCAGGCCUCUGAGCCCAAUCCUGCACUUGUACAUCCAGAUGGCCUGAGGAAACUGCAGAACCACAAAAGAAGUGAAAAUGGCCAGUUCCUGACUUAACUGAUGAUAUUACCUUGUGAAAUUCCUCUCCUGGACAAUGAGUCUCAGAAGUUCCCCACCGAGCACCUUGUGACCCCCACCCCUGCCUGCAAGAGAACAACCCCCUUUGAGUGUAAUUUUCCACUACCUACCCAAAUCCUGUAAAACUGCCCCACCCCUAACUCCCUUUGCUGACUCUUUUUCUGACUCAGCCCACCUGCACCCAGGUGAUUAAAAAGCUUUCUUGCUCACACAAA